rnacentral:rRNA from 1 species
AGCAGCCGCGGUAAUUCCAGCUCCAAUAGCGUAUAUUAAAGUUGUUGCAGUUAAAAAGCUCGUAGUUGAAUUUCGAGAUCAGUACGCUGGUCGUGCCUUCGGUAUGCACUGGUGUCACUGGUUUCUCCCUUCUGAAGAACCGUCAUGCCAUUCAGUUGGUGCGGCGGGGAAUCAGGACUGUUACUUUGAAAAAAUUGAGUGUUUAAAGCAGGCUCGCGCUUGAAUACAUUAGCAUGGAAUAAUGAAAUAGGACGUUUGACCCUAUUUUGUUGGUUUCUAGGAUCGACGUAAUGAUUAAUAGGGAUAGUUGGGGGCAUUAGUAUUCAAUUGUCAGAGGUGAAAUUCUUGGAUUUAUUGAAGACUAACUACUGCGAAAGCAUUUGCCAAGGAUGUUUUCAUUAAUCAAGAACGAAAGUUAGGGGAUCGAAGACGAUCAGAUACCGUCGUAGU